GACAUCACAGCCUACGUAACGGGGUUGGUUGGUUCCGUUGGUGAGUGAAGAGAGUGAAGCGUUCCUGGACCGGACUGAAUACGCACUUGAUUUGAAAUGGAGGAAGACAAACUUGAAAGACCUUUUGAGCCCGUGUCUCCCAUUGACCAUUUGAGCCGAUAUGGCGUGGAAACAGAGCAGUGGUACGUUGCUAUGUCGAACAACCGGUGGUGGUUUGGGGCGAAGAGCGGGUUGGCAACGCUACCUGGUGUCAGUGUGGCUGUUGUACUGCGAUGCCCACCAUGUCAGAGUCCAUCUGCUGUCAAGAGGCUGAUCUUGACCAUGUAUUGCGUGGUCAAUCCUGCAUCACCAUGGUGCCCACAUUUACCAUGCUGUGCCGGGAGGUAGAUGUGUUGGAGGUGGCAAUGCUUUCCUUGAAGGAUGUCAGAGCGGAGACACUGGAGCGUCCCAUCAACAGCUGACUCUUCACAGCCCUCACUGCUAAGGUCCAGAUCUUGCUGAGAUGACAGUGCCGUAGCUGGGGAGAGACCUUCCACAGAAGUACAAUAUGAAUGUGGAUCAGUCUGGGUGCUGAAACUGACUGUCGAGAGGGUGUGGACACUGCCUGUCUCCUGGUCUAUCUCCUUACAGAUGUCAGCUUCUGGGAAAUUGCUGCUGGCCACCAGACGCAUGCAUGGCUGCCUAACCUGUAAACACAUUUACUGUUUUUAGGUACCCAACUGAUAUUGACAGCCUUAUCAUGGAAUACUUUGUACUUACAUCCUGAGUAUAGGUUUAAAGCAU